CCGCCGCUGCUGCCGAGAAAUCACGUGGAUUAAAAGUGCCAGUCUCAAACACUCGGGGAGGGUGCCCGGAAACCGCCGCAGCUUGGCGAUGGCCACUGAGAUGCUGGGGCGUGCCACUGUGCCUGCCAGCAUGACGAGACUUUAAAGGAGGAAGGGAAGAGAAGCCGCUGAGCGAAACUUCGUGGAGUUGAGUCCAGAGUCCUGACUUCUGGCUCCAGUGCGCUGCAGGAUAACAGCUAUUCGUCACCAAGACCUGACCGGGACAAGCACAGUCUCCAGCUGUGACUACCACGCCUUGAGGAGCCACAAGUCAAAGAUGCAAGGGUUGCUUAAUUAAUCUACAGAAGAAAGCUGGGGCGCGCGCAGAGCGGAGGCGGGAUGGGAAGAGGUGGGCUGCGAGGAAGGGCUUACAGGGCCAAGGUCGGUCCUGGAAAGCGGCUAGCCUUGCUCUGUUCCAAGUUCUACAUCCUGCCCUGCCUCUUGUCCUUGUCCCAGAACAGGAGGACAGGCUCUUCCUGAGGAUGGCUCUGUCUUCCAUAUAGAGGGGGAUCUCAGUGAUGUCCCACAAUGAAGCGACUCUCCCAGACUGUUCUGAGGAGGAGUGGCGAGACAAGGAUGUCAGGUGAGCACGGAUAGCAGGGUCAGGAGCACAACCAUGACCCUAAGCCCUCAGGAUCAAGUCCUUUUUUAGUGCUUGCUACAUCACCCUAGGCCAGUGGUUCUCAACCUUCCUAAUGCUGCGACCCUUGAAUACGGUGAGACCCCAGCCAUAAAAUUAUUUCCAUUGCUAUUUUAUAACUGCAAUUUUGCUACUGUUGCGGAUCACAUGUAAAUAUCUGAUGCGUGACCCCCUGCGAAAGCAGUCGCGACCCAGAGGUUGAGGACCACUGUCCUAGACCAAAAACCCUAACUCCUGAGUCUCAGCUCUGGUACCUGCCUGGUGGAGACAAUGACAGUAGCACCUUCCCAUUCCUCUGUGAGAAUGGAGGACCAGAGGUUACAGCAGGUGUAACCUGUACCUGGAACUUAAGAAGCCCUUCUGUUUCUAGCUCCUCCUUUGGGUCUUGAAUCCCUGUGACCUCUAACCUCCUCCCUUCCAGGACCAAGCCAGAAAUGUAGAAAGUGUUUGAUGGGCAGAGCAGGUGGCGUUAUUUUUCAGUGAUUACCUGGGUGUGACUCCCAACUUUCCCACCCCUGCCUGGUGCACCUCUAACAAACGCCUUGAUUAUAGCCAGCCUCUGUUGCCUGUUGUCAGAUGGUAGAGGUUGUCCUGGCCUGUGGUACAUGGCGGGAUGCCCGCUGUAUGUGUGAAAGGAACUACCGUCCGACAGUAGGACUCAGCUCCUAUUUCUCCAACUGUUCCCUGUUGCUGGACCCACGCCUUUCCGUGCUGACAGAGGGGUGUCAGUGGACACAGACAAUUAGCCGCGACCCCGAGAGACAAACUCAGGCCAUAUUUAGAUGCACUUAACCCCACAAAGCCCCCAUGAGGGGAGCAGGACAGGGGUUAACAUCUUGCUAACCACAGGGAGAAGAUCCAGAGAGGUCAUGUGAGAGCUGAAGGUCACGUGGCAAUGAGAACUGGCUCUUGAACCUCGUACCCUUUCCACUACUGUAGAACGAGGUCUACCAAGAGGGGCUCAGGGAGAACUGUUUUCCCAGACUCCCUCUGUGAGCCAAAGUGCUGCCAUCUUUAUGAGACCAGAAGGAUACAGAGAAGGUCAUUGAACCUUUAUCUGAGUUUCUGGCUGCUCCUCCCAGCCACUUGCAGGAAAUUGUGCCCUAAUUGCUUGAGGUCUCUAGAAGGGGAAAGAGUUUACAGACUGGGGAGAACCAGGAGAGAAGGCUUUUUCUGUGCAGCUAUGGGGAAGCCGUCCUCCAUCCUGGGUAAAGACUUCUGCAGUGUCACUUUGGGGUCACCAGUGCUCGGUAAGUCAGCCCAAUAAACUCGUCGGUUCUGCACGGUGAAUGUGA